rnacentral:rRNA from 1 species
CUACACACGUCAUACAAUGGCCGGUACAGGAGGGUAGACCCAACCCGCGAGGGGGAGCCCAAUCCCACAAAGCCGGUCGUAGUCCGGAUCGCAGUCUGCAACUCGACUGCGUGAAGUCGGAAUCGCUAGUAAUCGCGGAUCAGCAUGUCGCGGUGAAUACGUUCCCGGGUCUU